UUUAGAGUUUGGAUCUGGCUCAGGACGAACGCUGGCGGCGUGCUUAACACAUGCAAGUCGAACGAUGAAGCCCUUCGGGGUGGAUUAGUGGCGAACGGGUGAGUAACACGUGGGCAAUCUGCCCUUCACUCUGGGACAAGCCCUGGAAACGGGGUCUAAUACCGGAUAACACUCUGUCCCGCAUGGGACGGGGUUAAAAGCUCCGGCGGUGAAGGAUGAGCCCGCGGCCUAUCAGCUUGUUGGUGGGGUGAUGGCCUACCAAGGCGACGACGGGUAGCCGGCCUGAGAGGGCGACCGGCCACACUGGGACUGAGACACGGCCCAGACUCCUACGGGAGGCAGCAGUGGGGAAUAUUGCACAAUGGGCGAAAGCCUGAUGCAGCGACGCCGCGUGAGGGAUGACGGCCUUCGGGUUGUAAACCUCUUUCAGCAGGGAAGAAGCGAAAG
rnacentral:rRNA from 1 species